rnacentral:rRNA from 1 species
AGCGAACGCUGGCGGCAGGCCUAACACAUGCAAGUAGAACGAAGUCUUCGGACGUAGUGGCGGACGGGUGAGUAAGACGGGGGAACGUGGAUGUAGGUUCGGAAUAACUUAGGGAAAAUUGUGGUAAUCCCGAAUGAGCCCUCCGGGGGAAAGAUUUAUAGCAUUGUGAGCGGCCCGCGUCUGAUUAGCGAGUUUGUGAGGUAAAGGCUGACCAAGGCGCCGAUCAGUAGCUGGUCUGAGAGGAUCAUCAGCCACAUUGGGACUGAGACACGGCCCAAACUCCUACGGGAGGAAGCAGUUUGUAAUCUUGCGCAAUGGGCGAAAGCCUGACGCAGCCAUGCCGCGUGAAUGAUGAAGGUCUUAGGAUUGUAAAAUUCUUUCACCGGGGACGAUAAUGACGGUACCCGGAGAAGAAGCCCCGGCUAACUUCGUGCCAGCCGCCGCGGUAA